UAGCUCAAGGCUAAACUUCAUCACCAAAAAGAAAAGAGAAAGAAAAAAAGUUUUCCAAGGGUAAAUUUAAACAUUCCAGUUAGUAACCUUGCAAGCUGAGUUUAGAGCAUAAUAUCUGUAAAAGGUUUAACGUCAUUGUAUUUAUUAGCCUUGUAGUGGUCACAAGUGACUGAAAUAAAAAUCUGUGAACUAUACGAAAAGGAGAGGAGACUAUAGUAAACUAUAUUUUUAAACCUGGCAUUUACCAUGCACAAAGGUAAAUAUUUUGGUGGUUAGCUAGUUUUAUGUUUGUUUGGCCAGGCAUUAUGAUGAAGACUGUAUUACAUGAUUUCUCUUAACUUGUAUUACAAUCCAGUGAAGUAUGUACUGUAUUUUGCUAUAAAAAUAGAUACAGAGGUGUGUAGAAGGUGACCUGCCUGCUAAAGUCAAUGAGCCCACACUCACAACAAACAGAUCCAAUCUCAUUCCAGUGAAACUCCUGAGGUGGAAGCAUUGUAGGAGACACAUACAUGUUAAAAACUUCAAAAAGUUCUAAAUGUGAUUUCCACAAGGAGAGAACAGAGAAGAGAGGAGAAAAUAUUUGAAGACAUAACAGAAGAAAAUUCCCCUACCUGGAAGGUGGCAUGCUGCUGGUAAUGUCUCUGAGCAUCUUAACAGGACUUUGCUUCGACUUGGGAAUUCUGCUCUUGCACAAGAGGACACUUGGGAUAAGCAUGUGGGCCCAACUACACUACAUCUAGUGAUGUCAAGAGCUCAGUGAAUCUGGGAGAGAUAUGGAGUGAAUUAACAGUUGCUUUGCUCAAAAGCCCUGUCCUGGAUUCUGCUUACGGCUGUGAUGAAUUAGCACAUAAAGGACCAGUCUUCCCUGUGAGAACGACUAGAAAAGCUGGAUAACGUGAAUUUUAAAAAAAUAUAUGUGACGGCCUUAAAUAUCCAGCAAGGCAGCCAGGAUAUGAGAUGCCAAAGCCCCAAAGGAAAGCUGUUGAGG
rnacentral:lncRNA from 1 species